rnacentral:rRNA from 1 species
UACGUAGGGGGCUAGCGUUGUCCGGAAUCAUUGGGCGUAAAGAGCGUGUAGGCGGCCCGGUAAGUCCGCUGUGAAAGUCGGGGGGCUCAACCCUCGGAUGCCGGUGGAUACUGUCGGGCUCGAGUACGGAAGAGGCGAGUGGAAUUCCUGGUGUAGCGGUGAAAUGCGCAGAUAUCAGGAGGAACACCUAUUGCGAAGGCAGCUCGCUGGGACGUUACUGACGCUGAGACGCGAAAGCGUGGGGGAGCAAACAGG